CUGGAUCGGGCUGCUUUAUGUCAUUUAUGUAAAUGAUUUGGAUGUGAAUAUAGACUGUGGUUAAUAAGUUUGCAGAUGACACCAAAGUUUGUGGUGUAAUGGAUUGUGAAGAAGGUUAUCUGAGAGUACAGCCUUGAUCAGAUGGGCCAAAGAGUGGCUGAUGAAGAUUAAUUUAAAUAAGUGUGAGGUGUUGGAUUUUGGUCAGGCAAAUCAGGGCAGGACUUAUGCACUUAAAUAGCAGGGCCCUGGGGUGUGCUGCUGAGCAAAGCGAGCUUGGGGUGCAGGUUCAUAGUUCCUUGAAAGUAGCGUUGCAGGUAGACAGGAUAGUGAAGAAGGUAUUUGGCAGCUUCCCUUCUUUGGCCAGUGCAUUAAGUCUAAGAGUUGGGAUGUCGUGUUGCAGUUGUACAGGACUUUGGUGAGGCCACUUUUGGAACACUGCAUUGAAGUCUGGUCUCCCUGCCAUAGGAAAGAUGUUGAUAAACUUGGAAGGGUUUAGAAAAGAUUUACAAGAACAUUGCUGUGGUUUGGAGGAGUUGAGCUAUGGGAAGAGGCUGAAUAAGUUAGGGCUAUUUUCCCUGGAGCAUCAAAGGCUGAGGAGAUUUUUAAAAGCAUGAAGGGCAUGGAUAGGGUGAAUAGCCAAGGUCUUUGUCCCAUGGUAUGCUAGUCCAAACCUAGAGGGCAUAGGUUUAAGGUGAGAGGGGAAAGAUUUAAAAGGAACCUCAGGGGCAACUUCUUCAUGCAGAGGGUGGUGCAUGAACGGAAUGAGUGGCCAGAGGAAGUGGCGGAGGCUGAUACUAUUACAUAAUUUGAAAGGCAUCUGAAUGGACAUGAAUAGGAAGGGUUUAAGAGGGAGUUUGGCCAAAUGCUGGCAGUUGGGUCUAGAUUAACUCAGGAGAUCUGGUCAGUAUGGAUACGUUGGACAAAAGGGUCUGUUGCUUUCCGGUGUGACUGUAUGACGCAUCAGCUGAUUGCCCCAUAAGUUUCCUCAGUACUUUUCCUCGAGAGAUUGUUAUUUUGCUUUACUUACUUUUGAUUCAUAUAUUCCAACACAUCUGAAUUAAAAUUUGUUGAAGAUAAAAUUUAAACAAAUGAGAAGUAUUACAUACAAAACACAAGUUGAGCAACAGGUUGCAAUACAGACAGUUGACACCUAUGAAUAAAGACUGAAUUGAUGAAACAGAUGAGGAUAUUUUUCUUCAGAAAAGACUUAGGGGUAUGAAGAUCUUUAUGAAUGGGAUGUUUUCACUUCUACAAGAAUUCAAAACUAGUAACCUCAAAUACAAUCUAGUCACACAAACAAUAAAUUGGUAAUCAAAGGGAAAUUUCUUUUUACAGACUGCUUAGAACAAGUAUAUGAAAGAGAUAGAAUUAAAAUGAUACACUGAAAGGCUCAAAUAAGAUAAAAGGAAUGGAAGGGGACUUGCAUGUUGUACAUGUACUGGCACUGUCAGUUGGGCUGAAUGGUCUCUUUCUGUGUAUGUUCUAUGGAAUUGGAUUGCCUGUGGCAAUGAUCGAUCAUAGAAUUUGAUUCAAUUUUAACAAAAAAGUGCUUGAUCAUAUCAUUAGCUUCUGGAAAAAGAAAGACAGACUUUUUUUAAAGAAAAAACUAAAAUACAAACUCCAAAUCUAGGAAUUAAAAUGAAGCAAAGAUGUCCAAUUAAUGAAGUUCCCAAAAAGACACAAACUUCAUGAUUAUUUGGUAUGAUAGUGAACGAUAGAUUUUGUUUUUGAAGUCUUUUGAGAUUAUGACCAAAAAUUUUCCCAUUUUUCUCUUUCAGUUUUUCUCAUAUUUACACAGGAGAACAAUAGUGCUGGUUAAUCACAUAUCAAUUCUUUGUUGAAUUUGAAAGCCAAUCUCUGCAGAGAAAUUUGAUUUGUCCCUCUUUUCCAAAAGAGAGUUUCUGAUCAUCGUCCUUCUCUAAUAAGGACAGAAGAAAUAGGAAUGGACCUCCCAAUCCCUUGAACAUGGUUUGCUAUUCACUUAAGAUCAUCUCUGAUCCUCUGUUGACUUGCUUUCCUGGAUCCCACAUGUCUUGACUUAUUUAAAUGUUCAAAAAUAUAUCAACUUCCAUCAUGAAUUUACUCAAUGAUGGAGCACCAUCUCAAAGAUUUAUCAAUCUCAAGAGUCAAUUAAUUUCUUAUUAGGCCAAAAUGACUGAUCCCUAAUCCAACGACCAGAAGCUGACCAGAAACCUAGCUGGAUUUGCCAUACAAAUACAAGUCAGAGGCUAAGAAUACUACAGCACUUAACUCACCUCUGACUCUCCAAAGCAUGUCCAUAUCUAUAAGGCACAAGUCAGGAGUGUGUUGGAAUACUCCCCAUCUGCUUGGAUGGGUGCAGCUCCAACAACACUCAAGAAGCUUGACACCAUCUAAGACAGCAACCAUUUGAUUGGCACCACAUCCACAAGCAUCCAUUCCCUCCACCACUGAUGCUCAGUAGAAGCAAUCUGUACUGAUUAAAAUUUGCAACACAGAAACUUGCCAAAUAUCCUUAUGCAGUAUCUUCCAAGCCCAUAACCACUUCCAUCAAGAAGGACAAGGACAGCAGAUACAUGGGAACACCAUCAUUUGGAAGUUUCCCUCCAAGCCACUCAACAUCCUGCCGCUCCUUCACUGUUGCUGGGUUAAAAUCCUGGAAUUCCCUCCCCAAGGGCAUUGUGGGUCUACCUACAGCGCAUGGACUGCAGUCGUUCAAGAAGGCAGCUCAUUACCCACUUCUCAAAAGGUAACUAGGGAGAGACAAGGAAAGUGAUGCCCACAUCCCAGAAGUGAAUAAAAAAAGACCUUCCAGAAUUUUAUACAUUGCAAUCAGAUCACCUCAAUAUAAACUUCCAGAGAAUUUAGGCCCAUUAUAAAUCAACCUUUUCACAGCACAACCCCUUUGUAUCAGAAAUUAUGACAGACUGCAAGCAAAGAAGAUGUGGUUCUAAGGACUGAUGUGUGUAGUGAUUGUAACAAGGUCAGCUCAUAGAAUACGAGUUCCCUGAUUGGACCAGAUUAACAGCCCCAAAUAGGGAUCCCUAGCUGAAAGAUGUAAACAGGAGUGUCACAGGCUCUGUUCACAUCGUCGGUUGGCUCUGUGGGAGCUGGAUCAUUAUCAAGGACUCUCCACGUGUAAAUGAAGGGCGACUUGGAGACGGGAUACUGACCUCUGUGAAGUUAGUCCAAUGUGUUUUGCUUAAAUAUAUAUUGAAAUUAUUGUCUGUUGCACUGUAAUCUUCAAUAUAGACUAGUAACCAGAAAGACAGUCUGCACCAUCUAUUCAUCAGAAUGUUUAUGGAAAUGUGAGUAAUGAAAUUAAUCAUCAGCACAAACAUAAUAAAUUACAAACUCCAAAUGAUUGCCAACCAGGUCCAAUAAUUCAGUUUUUAGUGUUUGUUGCUUCAAACUACCUCUUGAUACACCUUUUUCAAAAAAAAAAAAUCUGUCACAUCAAUCACCAGUCAAAGUUCAUUUUCAGAAGUCACACGUACCUAUCAUGUUAUUCCAGUUACUUGGUUUGUCUCCAGCAUUGCCUUAUUUUUAAUUUUUUGCAAUUAUUUCUCUGCCUCGUUUAAUCAGAGUAUAGAUCAUCCCUUUGCUGGUUAUUCAGCUGUUGACACUUUACUCACUGUCCAAUGUUCUUGGUCACCUGCAGAGACUUAUUAUCUGACACUCCAUUCACACCAGUUGUAUGAUCUUUUGAUGUCUCUGCCUAUAAAUUCUGUGUUGGUGUGCUCUUUCCUCUCACUGCAUCUGACGAAGGGACUGUGCUCCGAAAGCUUGUGAUUUCAAAUAAACCAGUUGGACUAUAAGCGGGUGUCGUGUGACUUCUGACUUUGUCCACCCCAGUCUAACAUCGGCACCUCCACAUCAAAGUUUAUUUUGGCAAGGGCAAAUGUUUUAAGGUUUUAGAAAAAACAUGUAUUAGUGUAUUGCAUUUAAUGAUGGAUUAAUGUUUGAGUGUAACCCUAGUGUAUUGCCAAUCUGUGUCACUCCUAAAACUAAUUUAAUGUAAUUAAAUCAGCAUACAUACAAA